CAAAAAUUCAGGUUUUCCCUCUUAGUCCUUGACUCCUGCUACAUCACAUUUCUCAGCCCCCUUUCAGUUUAAGUGGAUAGAAGUGAUGUACACUACUUCUAGGAUCAGUUUCUAUAAACUCUCUGCUCGCCCUCCAUGCUCUGUCUCUCUUCCAGAAAAGACCCUAGAAGAUGAUGGAGCCACAAGAUGGAAAGAGCCUGUACCCUGAAUCUUAGUGUGAACGAAAACAUGCCCACGAAAUACUCAAUUAAAGGAGGAGCUUGGGAAGAUGAGAAGAGCCUGGAGAAGGAAGGGAUUCAUGUGAGUUGAAGCAGACAGAACAUGGAUGGCCUCAGAAAGAUUCCCAGACACUGGUGUAGUCUCACAGCAGGUGGUUGGAUUAUGCAUCAGCCUUUGAGCAAAGAAACAAAAAAAAGUUUAAUUAACUAUGGGGGAAAAAGAAGAACCCAAAUUAUCAGAAGAGAAGACAGAAAGAUCCCCGAUACUUGAUAGAAGAACAGAGUUUGGGGAUCACUGCAUCAGACAAUGGAGAAAGAAAUAAAAAGAGAAGCAAAGAGGUCCA
rnacentral:lncRNA from 1 species